GGACUAUGACGAUUACAUAAUUGGUCUCGUUCGUCGUAAUGGCUUCGCCUUGACGACAAUUCUGAUAUAUCACCACCCAUAAACUGAGUCC